rnacentral:rRNA from 1 species
UACGAAGGGGGCUAGCGUUGCUCGGAAUCACUGGGCGUAGAGCGCACGUAGGCGGCUUUCUAAGUCAGGGGUGAAAUCCUGGAGCUCAACUCCAGAACUGCCUUUGAUACUGGGAAGCUCGAGUCCGGAAGAGGUGAGUGGAACUCCGAGUGUAGAGGUGAAAUUCGUAGAUAUUCGGAAGAACACCAGUGGCGAAGGCGGCUCACUGGUCCGGUACUGACGCUGAGGCGCGAAGGCGUGGGGAGCGAACGGG